rnacentral:rRNA from 1 species
GAUGAACGCUGGCGGCGUGCCUCAAACAUGCAAGUCGAGCGGGGCUAUGUUGGACCGUAAGGGAAGAUAUAGCCUAGCGGCGAACGGGUGAGUAACACGUGGGUAACCUACCUGGAAGACAGGGAUAACGAUUCGAAAGGGUCGCUAAUACCUGAUAAUAUCUAACAGUCGGAUGGCAGUUAGAAGAAAGGGGAAACCCGCUUUCAGAUGGGCCCGCGUCCCAUCAGCUAGUUGGUAAGGUAAAGGCUUACCAAGGCGACGACGGGUAGCCGGUCUGAGAGGAUGUACGGCCACACUGGGACUGAGAUACGGCCCAGACUCCUACGGGAGGCAGCAGUUGGGAAUCUUAGGCAAUGGGCGAAAGCCUGACCUAGCGACGCCGCGUGAGGGAAGAAGGCCUUCGGGUCGUAACCUCUGUCAGUGGGGACGAAGGAAGUGACGGUACCCCAACGACGGAAGCCCUCGCUACUACGUGCCAGCAGCCGCGGUAAACGACGAGAGUA